rnacentral:rRNA from 1 species
UACAACUUUCAGCAACGGAUCUCUUGGUUCUCGCAUCGAUGAAGAACGCAGCGAAUUGCGAUAAGUAAUGUGAAUUGCAGAUUUCCAGUGAAUCAUCGAAUCUUGAACGCACC